UCAAAUAUAACGUAUCAGACUUACGAAACAUAUGAACAUAAAACAUAAAACUUUAUUCUAGAUUAAUGUUUAAUUUGUUGUCCAUUUGAAAUGCGUCCUUCGCAAUGAAAAUUUUGAUUACAGGUCUAAAAUAGAAACGAUAACGCCAACAUUCAUUUUCGAUGUGAUUGCUUAGCAAAUCCACAAGACGCUGACAUACCUAGUAACGAGAUUUAUUUCAACAAGACUGAUACACUUGAUGGAUUGGACGAAGAGAACCAAUUGAGUGGCCACCAAGGGUACCGGAUAUAACCCCAUUAGAUUUAUUCUCAUGAGGCUAUUAGAAGUCCAAAGAAUUCGACAAGAAAAUAGAUUAAUCGAUCUGCAAGUGAUUGAAAAUUUGUAACUGGAAGUUCAUUUACCAGCUUCAAAAAAACAUUAAAGUCAAUGAACAACAAAUUGGACAUCAGUUUAAUUUAUACAAUAUUUAUUGUAAUAUUGUAUAAAUUGUUAUUUUUUAAUGACGUAUGUUUUAGAAAAUAGUUUGUUUCUUUUAUUUCAAUUUUUUUAAAAUUAGUAAAAGUAGAUUAUUUACUAUGUUUUCUUUUAAUUAGGUACUAGUAAAUAAUAUUUGAGAGUAAUUUUAUUUAAAGCAUUUUCAAUUAGUUACCAGCUCUAUCUAGAAAUGACUUUUAAAUUUGUAAAUGUUACUAGGGAAAUAAAAAUGUUUUCGUCUUUAAAUUAAA